rnacentral:rRNA from 1 species
AUUGAACGCUGGCGGCAGGCCUAACACAUGCAAGUCGAACGGUAACAGGAAGAAGCUUGCUUCUUUGCUGACGAGUGGCGGACAGGUGAGUAAUGUCUGGGAAACUGCCUGAUGGAGGGGGAUAACUACUGGAAACGGUAGCUAAUACCGCAUAACGUCGCAAGACCAAAGAGGGGGACCUUCGGGCCUCUUGCCAUCGGAUGUGCCCAGAUGGGAUUAGCUAGUAGGUGGGGUAACGGCUCACCUAGGCGACGAUCCCUAGCUGGUCUGAGAGGAUGACCAGACACACUGGAACUGAGACACGGUCCAGACUCCUAUGGGAGGCAGCAGUGGGGAAUAUUGCACAAUGGGCGCAAGCCUGAUGCAGCCAUGCCGCGUGUAUGAAGAAGGCCUUCGGGUUGUAAAGUACUUUCAGCGGGGAGGAAGGGAGUAAAGUUAAUACCUUUGCUCAUUGACGUUACCCGCAGAAGAAGCACCGGCUAACUCCGUG